rnacentral:sRNA from 1 species
UAAUACUUUGUAUUAGAUUUCUUUAAUACAUUUUUUGUAAGGAACGGAUGGCAAUUCUGUGUAAUCUUAAAGAGCUUUCCACUGUGUUCAAAUUUGUUUAUAUAAGAUGCAGUUUUCAUGAAAAAGUCAAGGUCCAGGUGUUAUGAUUGCUGCCAAAGUCAACUUGCCAGAAACAGUCCAUCAUUUCAAGUGUUAACAUUGCAAAACAUAAAAAAGUGGGUCCAUCGCGUGCUGGAACUAGUCAUGUAGACUUUAGAUGCAUCAACAGACAGCCACUUGGGUGGUGAUGGGUAUGAUAUUUUUUCUUUUGUGCAAUAUUUUAGUUAGAUUAUUAUGGUUAAAAAGGGCAGUAAUUUUCAUAUUUUGAUUUCACUGGUAUUUAUUUUUUCACAGAUUUUUUUAUUCUAUGCUUCAAUAUACCUGUAUUUACUACACUAGUUAUGUAUUAUAUGAGAGAGUUUGGCUUACACAAUCCACUGGUUCGUGAAGCUAGUUCUGAUCAAGAUAAACCUGGAGUUUGUGUGGAGAUGGAGUUCUCUGCCCCAGUUCUUUGUUAAUGUGUAACCAAAACACUUCAGAGAGAGCAGGUCAUGGUUAGACUCCAGAGUGAGUAUUUGACAUCUAGUUUUGAAUCAAGUGAAGUCAACAACAACCAGACUCUGCUUGUUUUAAAAGUUAACAGUUGUGAACUACAACACAAUCCACAUUCCCUGUGUCUGAAGGGGAAGCAACUGUUCAGUAAAAGUACAAACAUAACAGUGAGCCAUGUGACCCAUAGAAAUCUUGUUACAAGUUUUCAAUCUAUUUUUGGAUUUUUUUUCCCUUCCCACUUUGUGCCCAUCUUUCACAUUGCCUGUUCACUUCAGUAUUACAUGCUGCAUUCAACAUUGUCCCGAACGUUCGGUGAAUUAACAUCAGUGGGACUUGUUGCAAUGGGUGGGACCCUUAGUUUCUCCCCAUAAGGUUUUCAUGUGCAUGUGUAGUUUUUGACCAAUUUCAUACAUGUUGUGUUUUUGUAUAAUGGGAAGUUUUUAAAGUUAUUUUGUUUAAGGUUAUCAACCGAUCCUGAAGUUUCUAUGUUUUUUAAUAAAGCUAAGUCAUUCUUUUAUAAUAAUAAACAUGAAUGGUGUUGUU